UGGGGAAUGCGGCUUCGGCUGACUGGGCUGCGAGGCGUCAGCGCUGCCUCUCCAGGGACUGUCUGACACUAAGGCAGAGCAGCCUAACUGCAGCCAGAUAAUUAAAAACGAUCGAUGCUAUUAAGUAAACGUAAGCCCCGACAGCUCCGGGUGUAUUCUCAUAUCAUUGGGCAUACUCAGGCAUUGAGAGAGGAAGCUAGAAUGGAGCAAAUGGUGGGAGCAGCACCUACAAGGAGAGUUUCUGCUGUUGUGUGCACUGCUGCAGAUCGAAAAGGACCUUUUGGUUAACCCUUUUGAUUUAGUGGUGCAAGCUAGCUAAAGCUCUGCAUAUCUUCGUUCUGGUUUGAAACACUCCUCCACAUUCAUUCUGCUCCUGCCCAUGCUCCUCAGAAAUCUUUCCAGGGAAAACAGUCCUGGAUUUAUUUACAGCACAUCAUUAUUUAUUUAAAGAAACCCUUUUUAGGGAGAAAGCAAAAAAGAGAUCUGAGCUCUCCAUUGAGGACUUCAGAAUGAGCCCUGUGCUUCCGAGUUAUCUAAAGACAAAACUCAGUGAAAGACUGCCCUUGUCCCCAAAUGGCUUCUGAAACUGAAACCACAGAGAAGAAUGCAUGCACUGGAGAAAGCCAAUGCCUGAAAGCUCAAUAGUAACAUCACUUGGUUAGCAGUGGUUCAUCGCCUUUCCCCAUACAAGUUAUUUAUUUUUAAUUCGUCACAGCAGUACUUUGAAGACUCAUCUAUUGACUGGUGGUUUAAGCCAUGGUUUUCAACCUACAAGUCAAUACAACCCUCUGGACUUGUGAGUUGCUCAUUAAGGACUUGUGAGAAUGAAAGUCAAGAGGCAUGUUUCUCUCAGGGUCUGCACCUCCCUGAGCAAAAGCACAGGGAUCUGGAAAUCAAAAUGCUUGGUUACCUCUAUAGCAAGGUGCAACUCUGCAAGGUCAUCUGCACUGAAACUGGGGAGAGACCCUAGGACUGACAGACCCCUACUAGAUUGCAUUUGUGAUGUUUGCCAUCUCUGACCUCCUGCAAGAGGCCGUUCCUGUCCUGAGGAAUUUUACCCACCCGCCCAGUCAACCCUGGAGCAUUAAAUGUGUAGAGUCGUUACUGGAUGCACACUCUCAAUUCCCAGUGCAAGAAGUUUAUUGCUUAUGACAGCAAGGUUAAAGCCAAACAAGCAUGCUGAUUGAUUUCUGCCCAAGAGAAGGCUGAGUUUCAAGAAUGCUGUUUACACAAAGGGCUUGAUUCUGAUCUACCAUCAGGCUAAUUUUCGUUUAUAUCAAUAUAAGAGAGAUCUGAAUGAGGCCUUUGGCUUGCAAAAUAUUUUAGGGCUCUUUGGGGAGAGGCAGCUUUGUGAAAACAGAGAUUACAAAGAGAACAAUCACAGUUCUUAAUUCAAAGGAAAACCAUGGGAAGAUGUGCCUUUGAUGCUAAUCUUCUGAAGUGCCUGACACUGCCAGGGAGAUGCAGACUGCAUCUUCCCUGCCAGCAUUUCAGUAUGCCCUGGCUAAACCUUAGCUGUUGACAUUCAUGGAGCAAACUGAUGGUUAGUGGGGCUGCCCAAAAUUUGCACCAGCAGAGUCUGGCUCAACCUUGUUUUUGCUGGUAUAGUAUCAGUCCUUUAAUUCCUAGUUUAGUUUUGUCUGUGAAUGCCUGAAGAUUUUUUUUUUUUAGAAUACCUGAAAUUUUCAACCACUUUAACUCAGCAGUCCCCUAUGGUAACUGAGCAUUUUCAGGUGCAAAAACUUUUGAAAAGAAUAGAAAGACAGAGCAGGAGUGGAAAAUUUUUACAACUUUCUCACAAUUCACUGCCCACUGGAGUCAAAUAUACCAUACUGAUAGACAGUUCCAUUAAAGUAUCCAGGUGUACCUGGCUGUGGAUAGGAUUUAUAAGAGCAUUCAGGUAGGCUGUGUGCCUGUUUGCUUUUUGUGCUGUCUAGGGCUCUGAGACCUGCAAGUCCCAUUGUCAUGAAUUUCAUACACAUUAUGAUAUUCAAUGUAGCAUGUGUAAUCAUCCUAGAAUAAGAAUCUGGCCUACUUUUUUUCUUAUUUUUUUUUAAAUCAUUGCUACAAAAGGUCUUGGCCCUGAACUGCCUGCUGAACAACAUGCCAUGAUCAAAGGCAAAAGAGGGCUUUGAAUCUGUCUGUGGUUUGUGGGAGAGCUAUUGGGGAAAACCUCUAGGAGAGCAAUAGCAAAAUUAUCACGAUAAUGAGUAUGGGUUGAGGAUGCAUGAUGUUUUCAGGAGAGCCAGAUUGAAACCCACAAAUCAAAGAGAACUUUAGAGUGGCCAAAAAUUCAGGAAGAUUCAUGAUUUUUUUAAGACAUAAUCCCCUCACUCCACUUCUACAAGGUAGCUUGAUUUAUUACCUCUGGCCUUAACACUGAAUCUGCAGUAAUGGAAGUCUUUAAAAACAGCUUGGAUAAACAAAUAUUAGGCUGAUAUUAUGUAGGACUGAUCCUCUCUUGGGAACGACCUAUGUAAGUUUUUGAAUUCCCUUCCAGACAUAAUCAUGGCAGUCCUAUUUUAUCCAAAUUAUUAAAGUCUACCUGAAAAGUUUAUUUAUUUUUUUUUUAAUAAAGAAGACAAAAUCCAGAAGUCACUGCAGUAAAUAGGCAAACAGCUCAUUUUAUCAUUGGAAGUCACUUGUCCUAAGGAACUGACAAUCAUUGGUCCAGAUCUGUAGUGGGUCUUCAGUACAUCUAUCUCCAUCAAGUCUGUCUCAAUGAAGUUCACUUACAUCAGCUCAGAAUCUGGUUUAUCUUCUGUUUCUAACCUGACUAGUAAAACCUGUCCUUCAACAGCUCUAUCACGCAAAAUCUAUUCAUUUAAUGUUUCUCUCUUGGAAUGAGAAAGGAGAAGAGAAGAUCCUACGUUUACAGAACAAAGCUUAACACCAUGUCUAAUAAAGGUUCAAGCCUA